rnacentral:lncRNA from 1 species
UGUUGUUGACCGAAAAUAUAAGAAACAUCGAUUUAAACUAUGUUAAAAAUAAAUAAUUUGUGUAAGUUACUUUAAUUUCCGUGUCUAUAUUUAAUUUACGAGUACACGAUAGUAAGACAGAAAAAGAGAAACGGAAAUAUACAGGAAUACAUAAAGUUUCGUAAGUCAUUGAAAUGGACCAUACGUUACUUACAUGUCACGAGUUUUCAUAGCACUCAGCAAGUUUUGAAACGAAUAUGUGAGAUAAAGAUCUACUGCAUUUGGGCAAAUUAAAAAUAUGUUAAACAUCUAACUAUUUUAUUUUUAACAGAUUCACAAGUUUUGCAUUUUUUAAACCGUGCAUCAAUAUUUUAAUGUUUCCUUUUAAUUCCUUAUAUGUUACGUGUAUUGAUCAUUCAUUUGUUUAAAUUGUGAAGUAUGUGACUUUAAUAAGAAUACACGCA